rnacentral:rRNA from 1 species
GAUGAACGCUGGCGGCGUGCCUAAUACAUGCAAGUCGAGCGAACAGACGAGGAGCUUGCUCCUCUGACGUUAGCGGCGGACGGGUGAGUAACACGUGGAUAACCUACCUAUAAGACUGGGAUAACUUCGGGAAACCGGAGCUAAUACCGGAUAAUAUAUUGAACCGCAUGGUUCAAUAGUGAAAGACGGUUUUGCUGUCACUUAUAGAUGGAUCCGCGCCGCAUUAGCUAGUUGGUAAGGUAACGGCUUACCAAGGCAACGAUGCGUAGCCGACCUGAGAGGGUGAUCGGCCACACUGGAACUGAGACACGGUCCAGACUAUUACGGGAGGCAGCAGUAGGGAAUCUUCCGCAAUGGGCGAAAGCCUGACGGAGCAACGCCGCGUGAGUGAUGAAGGUCUUCGGAUCGUAAAACUCUGUUAUUAGGGAAGAACAAAUGUGUAAGUAACUAUGCACGUCUUGACGGUACCUAAUCAGAAAGCCACGGCUAACUACGUG